CAAUGAACACACCAACAUCUCCCCAAUGUUGAGACUCCUUAGGCAUGCCAGUCAGAGUCUUUUCUUUUCAACAUCAAAUCCUUUCUCUGUUUUUGCAAUGAUCACUCUGUACAAAAUCCAACACCAUUCGUGUUUAAAUCCCAAACAACAUACCGACACAAGAAGAGAGCACCCAUUUGAAGAAGAAGACCCUAAACUUUCAGCCAUGGCUACUCAUAAUCCCAGAUCAAGUGUGUGACAUUUGUGGUGAUAUUGUGUAUAGGGAAGUAGUUUUCUCUUGGUCUGCCUGCUAAAUAGUCUGUGAGCACAUCUAUGCUUUGCUUUCUCUUUUCUUAUCAUUUUACUUUCUUUUUUAGUUUUCUUCUUAUUUUGGUCUGAUCUUAAUAUCCUUGUUUCUUUAAUGUACUUUUGUCGUUGUCUGUACCAGUUAUUGUAUCAUACACGUUUUAGCUGUAAUACAAAAAGAUGAAACUUUUCAAAUACCUGUUUCUUUUCCAAAUUCAAAUGACGAAGGGUCAGUGUCCAUUGAUAUUCUCUUCAUGCACUCUUUACAGUAAACAUUCAAACAAUAUUGGAAGAAUGGAGAGCUCUUCAUCAAUGGAUUCCAACAGUAACAACAUGAACAACAUGUUAUUGCAUGAGGGUUUAUUUGAAGGAUAUCCCAAAAUGUUGGGUUUGUGAGUCAUGUGCUUGUCCAUUGGGGGAGCCAAACAUCAUUAUUUUGGAUGAAUUUGAGGAAGCACAUACAAAAACAACAAAUGUUGAUGUUGCUGCAUUGGCUUGUGAGCCAAACAUCAUUAUUUUGGAUGAAUUUGAGUAAACAUAUACAAAAACAAAAAAUGUUGAUGUUGCUGCAUCAGUUUGUGAGCCAAACAUCAUUAUUUUGGAUGAAUUUGAGGAAACAGAUACAAAAACAACAAAUAUUAAUGUUGCUUCUGUACUUGGACAACAACCUCCUCCAGCCACAACCGAAUCUCAAGUGAACAACGAGAUGAACCAGUGGGACGUGUGGAGCUAUUCAAAGAAACGCACGCUAAUAAGAGUGGCCAGUUCGUGAAUCAAGCAGCCAAGGAUGUGCAUAAUCAAAUGCUAGAAUUACUAUUGGUACCCACUUUAGAAGGUUCUCAACCACUUUCAGGCGACGAAAUAUGCGAAACAGUUUUGGGGAGACGACCAGGCUAUUCAAAAGAUCUCGAUUGGGGCCCCAAACCUAAGUCAAGGAAGGAUGGUAGUAGUGCAUCAAAUUUAGUGUCUCAAGAAAUACACGAUAGGGAGGUGAUGGAACUAAGAAAUACCGUUGAGACCUCGCAAUCUCGGAUUAAAGAACUUAAAGAAGGGCAAAGACGUAUGAUUGAAGAACAAAUAAAAACGUCAGAGAUGCAUGCCCGACAAAUAGAAAAAAUGAAAAAAAUGAUUGAAGAAAUGACAAGAGCAAAACGAGGACCUUGAACAUAAGGAAAAAAUGUUGAUAUUAAGGCAAGAAAAAGGUUCAAGUCCACCAAAGACUGAUGAAGAAAUCAUGGUUAUGGUUCUUGGAAAGAGACCAUUAUACAUGGAAGGAUUGGGAUAUAAAUUGAAACCUCCACGAAGUAAAGAAGCAUCUCUUACGGACAAGAGUAUGUCGAAUCUCUAGAGACUCAUCUUGUAAGGACCGAAGAAUUAUUAGAUGAUCGGUGUCGAGGUUAUGAAAGAAAGUUCAGCCAAAUUGAAGAAAUGACAAUGACUCAAAAGUUAUUGCAAGAUCAACCACAGAACAAGGGCUUCAAAAUAAGUUUAGUCAAGUCAAUACAAUAAUGAAGAAGUUUAGUGGAGGAAGUUUGUCUUCUCUUAGUAAGGUGAAAUGGGUGAUUUUGUAGUUAUACUAAUGUUUUGUAAAUGUUUUCUAAUCUAACAAACUGAAGGUCAUAUCUUUUCAAUUUAUAAAUGUCCAUCUUUCUUUUGCAA